AGUUCGAUUAUGGCUCAAGAUUCAGACGCUGGCGGGAUGCUUUACAUGCAAGUCAGACGGCAGCACGGACUUCGGUCUGGUGGCGAGUGGCGAACGGUGAGUAAAUAUAUCCGGAACGUGCCUAGUAGCGAGGAUAACUACGCCAGCGUAGCUAAUACCGCAUACGCCCUUCGGGGGAAAAGCGGGGACCUUCGGGCCUCCUUUAAGAAGCUGGCCGAUAUCGGAUUAGCUAGUUGGUGGGGUAACGGCUCAGGCGACGUCCGUCGCUGGUUUGAGACGGCCAGCCACACUGGGACUGAGACACGGCCCAGACUCCACCAGGAGGCAGCAGUGAAAUUUUGGACAAUGGGGGAAACCCUGAUCCAGCCAUCCUGCGUGUGCGACUGAAGGCCUUCAGUUGGCAAGCACUUUUGGCAGGAAAAGAAACGCUGGGAUAAUACCCCAUAUGCAACUGACAAACACCUGCAGAAUAAGCACCGGCUAACUACGUGCCAGCAGCCGCGGUAUGCAGCCAGGGUGCAAGCGUUAAUCGGAAUUACUGGGCGUAAAGCGUGCGCAGGCGGUUCGGAAAGAAGAUGUGAAAUCCCAGGAAGCAACUUUGGAACUGCAUUUUUUUAACUACCGAGCUAGAGUGUGUCAGAGAGUGGAAUUCCGCGUGUAGCAGUGAAAUGCGUAGAUAUGCGGAGAGGUACCGAUAGCGAAGGCAGCCUCCUGGGAUAACACUGACGCUCAUGCACGAAAGCGUGGGAGCAAACAGAGUUAUAUGAUACCUGUUGCGUCUGCGCCUAAACGAUGUCAACUAAGCUGUUGGGGCCUUCAGGCAGCGGUGGCGCAGCUAACGCGUGAAGUUGACCGCCUGGGAGUACAGUCGCAAGAUUAAAACUCAAAGGAAUUGACGGGGACCCGCGCAAGCGGUGGAUGAUGGAUUAAUUCGAUGCAACGCGAAAAACUGCUUACUACCCUUGACAUGUCUGGAAUCCCGAAGAGAUUUGGGAGUGCUCGCAAAGAGAACCGGAACACAGGUGCUGCAUGGCUGUCGUCAGCUCGUCGUGAGAUGUUGGGUUAAGUCCCGCAACCGAGCGCAACCCUUGUCGUGGAUUGCUACGAGGGCACUCUAAUGAGACUGCCGGUGACAAACCGGAGGAAGGUGGGGAUGACGUCAAGUCCUCAUGGCCCUUAUGGGUAGGGCUUCACACGUCAUACAAUGGUCGGGACAGAGGUCGCCAACUGAGGAGCCAAUCCCAGAAACGAUCGUAGUCCGGAUCGCAGUCUGCAACUCGACUGCGUGAAGUCGGAAUCGUUGGCGACCAAUCGCCGGAUCAGCAUGUCGCGGUGAAUACGUUCCAGGUCUUGUACACACCGCCCGUCACACCAUGGGAGUGGGUUUUACCAGAAGUAGUUAGCUAACCGUAAGGAGGGCGAUUACCACGGCAAGUUCGCGGCUACAGGUGAAGUCGUAACAAAGGUAACUCAUUACCUGAUGCUCCCAAG
rnacentral:rRNA from 1 species